rnacentral:rRNA from 1 species
UUGCCCUACGGGGCGCAGCAGUGGGGAAUAUUGCACAGUGGGGGAAACCCUGCUGCAGCGACGCCGCGUGAGUGAAGAAGUAAUUCGUUACGUAAAGCUCUAUCAGCAGGGAAGAAAAUGACGGUACCUGAGUAAGAAGCCCCGGCUAACUACGUGCCAGCAGCCGCGGUAAUACGUAGGGGGCAAGCGUUAUCCGGAUUUACUGGGUGUAAAGGGAGCGUAGACGGUACGCCAAGUCUGAAGUGAAAUGCCGCAGCUUAACU